AUGGCUCCUCUGUGUUUGGGAGCCAGUGAGGUGGAGGGCAGGAUGCAAACAACUGGGUUCCAGCUGGGGACGUCAGGAGGCUCCAUCCAUUUCCUAUGCAGCCACUUCACGGAUAAGAGGGGGGUGAUGGGGGUAGGCCCAUGUCAAAAUACUGUUCUGCCUGCUUUUUUUUUUUUUGCAAGCAAGAAAAGCAUCUUAGGUAAUGAAAACUGGAAGUCUCUUAUUACUGAAAGUAAUAAGAAAAAGCUAAGAAUACAAGAAGCUAUAAUUUUGUUAAACUUUUUAUCCCUCAGAAGGAGGAAACCAGAAGUGGCAUUGAGAAAAAAGCAAGGAAUAAGUAGAUGGCUGUACUGCUCCAGCAUGCUGACUGAACCCAGAGAGCUUUCAGUAGGAGAAACACGAACCAGAAUUGCCAGUCAGAAGUGCAACAGGAAGAGCAAGCUGAGAUGACAAACAGGGAAUGGAUGCAGGCGCACAGCUGGUGUCUUGUUUGAGUCGAUAUUGCUUCCUCAGCUCCUUGCAGCGAAGGACAUACAAGCAUGUGGUGUCUACAGUGCUGUCCAGGUGACAAACUGUCCAUCUGCUCAAUGUACCUACUGAUAAUCUGGACUGAUUAGUCUGAACUGGAGUCCACAGAAGCCUCAUGCUGUGUAACAUCUGAUAUAACUCUCCCUUUGUUGUUCCAAGUGUUGCUUGUCCUUCCUGUGGCUGUCAGGGAUGUAGGAGCUGUAGCAGACUCCCUGCUGGACCUGUGGUGCUGAGGCAUUUCGUUGUGAGUUGAGCCAAAGGCACUUGUGUGCAGUGUAACAGGACAAGCUAGCAUCACCUUGUCUGGAUCACCGGCCUUCUCUGAGUGGCUUUUUGUGUGCUGUGGCCUUGAUGAAGUCAGUUCUCAGUGAACGGCAAGGCAUGAAAACGACAUGGGUAAAACUAGGCUUCUGUUAUUAUAAUCAACAGAGAAAACUUUUAGACGGAUUCAAGUUGGACAGAGCAUAAAACAGAAACCAAAAUAGACUGAAGCAACAUCUUCACCACAACUUCUGUCCCUCUGUCAGUAAUGAGGGAAAGUGGAGUGUCUCAGUGUCCAAGGACCAGUGACUUGGCUCAGGUCUAUCUGCCAAAACUAGUUGAAGGAGGUUAUCUCUGGACUGUGAAAUUGGCCUUCCUUGGUGACUCUGGUUCACUUUUGUGACUUUUGCUCCAUGGGACAUUCUUAGAAGGCAUUCAUCAUAGGGAUGUCUAAUGGCAUAUCAGGAUGUCUGUGUUAUUAUCAGAAUGAUGUUUGUUGUUUCUUUAAUGAUCAGCACUGGAUGGUCAUAUAAAUAUUGCCUAUGGGAUUACUAGGACCCCACAGUGUAUCUUGUUAUGUCUUCACAUCCUUCACUUGCAUAGCCAUAGCAAUUGCUGUCUUAAGUGUCAAAUCAGUAGCAAGCUGUAGUUUUUCUAACAU
rnacentral:lncRNA from 1 species